rnacentral:rRNA from 1 species
AUACGGAGGAUCCGAGCGUUAUCCGGAUUUAUUGGGUUUAAAGGGUGCGCAGGCGGCCAUUUAAGUCAGCGGUUAAAUCGUGGGGCUCAACCCCAUUCUGCCGUUGAUACUGGGUGGCUUGAUUGCGGUCGAGGUUGGCGGAAUUCGUUGUGUAGCGGUGAAAUGCAUAGAUAUGACGAAGAACACCGAUUGCGUAGGCAGCUGACCAGACCGCAAAUGACGCUCAUGCACGAAAGUGCGGGGAUCGAACAGGAUUAGAUACCCUGGUAGUCCGCACCGUAAACGAUGAAUACUUGAUUUCGGCGAUAGAAUGUCGGAGGCAAAGCGAAAACGAUAAGUAUUCCCGCUGGGGAGUACGCCGGCAACGCUGAAACUCAAAUGAAUUGACGGGG